AAAUUCUCUUUUUUUUCUUCAAAUUACUUCAUUAUCAAAUGGUUUUUUUUUUUGGAAGGGGGGGGGGUUGUCAAUGUGUGUUUUGUGCUGAAAUUCAGGGUAAGCAAGGGACAUGAGGUCAUACAGUAUUGGGGUAAAAACAUGUUCCCCAGUGCUGCUGUAAUCCAAAGAGGAAUAUGUCUAUUGUUCAUCAUAGUUUCAAACUGCCAGUUGCUUUGCCUACAAACCACAGUGGGACCACUCGUUGCUCUGGAAGAGUUGAAAUCUACUAUCAAAAAAGUUGGGGAACAGUUUGUGAUGAUGGCUGGGACUUAAAUGAUGCUGAGGUGGUCUGCAGACAGUUAGACUGUGGAACAGCCCUGAAUGCCACUAAGUCAGCUCAUCCUGGUGAAGGAAGUGAGCCAAUCUGGCUUCAUGAUGUGUCCUGUUCAGGAAGUGAGAGAUCUCUGACUGAGUGUCAGCACAGAGCUGUAAAAAGGAGCUGUACACACCAUAACAAUGCUGGUGUCAUCUGUUCAGAUUCCACAGAUUCAAUAAUUCCAGUCCUGAGAUAUGUUUUCCUGCCACUGAUUCUGCUUUUGGAAAACAUUGCCCUUCAUUUCUACUAUAAGGUCAUCAAAAAGCAGAAAUCAGACAAAAAGGAGAACGAUGAGACGGAUGUUUCCAGAGCUGAAGAAGUGGAGGCCGAGGAGGAAGCAGUCCAAGAAAUAGAAUAAAAUAUUACACACACACAGAGAUGCCUUCAGAAAGAAAUUUUGCUUUGUGGGGGAAAAAAAGUUGCACCUCAAUCAGAUGCUUUUAGCAGCCAUCAACAAGUUCAUGAUAAUAUUCUGGUUGGAUAUUUGAACACUCUUCUUGGCAUAAUUGGUAGUCUAACUUUAAACAGAUCCACUACAGUAGUGCAACCCCUCUGCUGUAUUUAAUGUCCAGUAGAAACUCUUAAUAGCAUUAAAUUAUAAUUUUUCCACCAGCUUUCGUAAACCUCUUUACACAUUAAAAUCUAAAAACAUGAAGUUAUUAUUUUAAAAACAUUUUAAAAAAAGUCAGUUUGACCAUUCAGACAUUUUACACCGCAAAUCACAAAACUGUUUCCACUAAACAUUUCCUCAUUCGUCCAUUUUAAUCAAAUCUAAUAAACAGUAACUUUCAAUGUUUUCUGUUUUUGCGCCUUGCAAAUAAA